rnacentral:lncRNA from 1 species
CCACUGUUUACUGAUUGCUGGGGCGGCUUUUAUCAUAUUUAUCAGAAGUGCUAGCUCGAUGUGCAGUCCCAGCUUCAGCAUUCUCCUUUCUACUUUGGGCAAGAGGAGCACAACAGGAGUCAUGGGUACUCAGCCAGGUUUUUGAGGCCUUCACCUCUGAGCAGUUCACAAAGGGAUGGAAAUAUUCUGCUUCUUUGCAGGCUGGAAACCUGGGAAAGGUAGUGGGACCUCCUGUUUUGAGGGCCACAGUUUCAAAAGGACUUAAAAAACAUAGCAACAACACAUUCCAACACUUCCUUCUGCUUAUGGGAAAGCACCCUGCCCUCCAAACCUAGCGCCUGGAAAAUGCGAAUUUCUCAGCCCACACUGAAGCCUUCUGGAGUAAAGCUAUUUGUGUGCAGUGAGGAGUGCAUCAUGCUUUGGCCAUAACUGGAAUGUGCACAGCUUUGUGAAGUUUCUCAGAAUGACUCAAAGAGUGGAAGCAAAUAAAAAACCACAGAGAUAUUUGUGUCUUCA